GAAUGCCAGGUCGUCUAACGGCAGGACAGCAGUUUUUGGAGCUGCGUAUGCUGGUUCGAGUCCAGCCUCGCCUUCG
rnacentral:tRNA from 1 species